GAUUCACCUCUGACACUCUGGCCUAUAGCCUCACUUCUACCUCCAGGGGAAGUGAAAUUGUCACACUCACACAUUAUUAGUUGCUUCUAUGGUGCAUAUGGCUCAAGAAUUUUAACAGUGUCAGUGAAAAUGUCCAAUGUUUAUUCAACCAUUAAUUCACCCUCAACCCAUGCAUGUACAGGUUGAAGUUAUCUGGUAUGCCUAUAUGCACAUGGGGAAAAUUAUUUUGAGUACAAAAAUAAAAGGUUGACCAACAAUCUUGCUAGCAUUUUUAAUCAAUACACCCAGGGGGUGAAGACCUUGGAACUUAAAAGGGACAUAAAAAUCCAUUUCAAAGGAAUGUUGUCACCCAAAUAUUUGGCUUAAAAACUGUAUUAUGCAUUUCCAGGGAGCUGGUUGCAAAAAUCUCUUGGAAAAUAUUUCCAGGGGAGCCAAUGAAAAACAUUAUUUUUGGAAACUCCAGGAUGUUUUGAAGGUCUUCACCCAAAAUCACUACUUAAAUACUGAACACUGAAAAAUAUUUGGGUUUUUAUCAAAUUUGCCAAUCAUCAUUUGCUUCUUCAUCAUAACUUGCCCAGUCUACAAAUGGGAAAAAUUGUCAAAAAUGCUGUGUCUUGGGCAGGCAUUAGUUAUUACUUGAUUAGUCUAUUACAAAGCCAUGGGUAGCCUGUCCUCCCAUCUAGGUGCAUGCUUAACAUGAUUGGUGCAUAUAGAAAUUAUUUUGGAAAAGAAUGUCACUAUAUUAUUUCAUACAUACAAUAAAAUAAACUAAGCAUCUGUUAAAUUCCAAUUAUUAUU